CCUACGGGAGGCAGCAGUGAGGAAUAUUGGUCAAUGGACGCAAGUCUGAACCAGUCAUGCCGCGUGCAGGAAGACGGCUCUAUGAGUUGUAAACUGCUUUUGUACGAGGGUAAACGCAGAUACGCGUAUCUGUCUGAAAGUAUCGUACGAAUAAGGAUAGGCUAACUCCGUGCCCGCAGCCGCGGUAAUACGGAGGAUUCAAGCGUUAUCCGGAUUUAGUGGGUUUAAAGGGUGCGUAGGCGGUCGGAUAAGUUAGAGGUGAAAACCCGAGGCUCAACUUCGUAAUUGCCUCUGAUACUGUUCGGCUAGAGAGUAGUGGCGGUAGGCGGAAUGUAUGGUGUAGCGGUGAAAUGCUUAGAGAUCAGACAGAACACCGAUUGCGAAGGCAGCUUACCAAGCUACUUCUGACGUUGAGGCACGAAAGCGUGGGGAGCAAACAGGAUUAGAUACCCUAGUAGUC
rnacentral:rRNA from 1 species